AUUGCGGAUGCGAAACUGCCGGACAUGCAGGCCGGAUGGGAGCAGAUGUGCUCCAACGUGAUGGCCGGUUUGUCAGGGUUGAACAUGGUCUAUGAAGCGG
rfam:Loktanella sediminum strain DSM 28715 genome assembly, contig: Ga0131264_101